AGAGUUUGAUCCUGCUCAGGAUGAACGCUGGCGGCGUGCUUACACAUGCAAGUCGAGCGAAAAUAAUUGAGAGCUUGCUUUUGAUUAUUUUAGCGGCGGACGGGUGAGUAACGUGUGGGUAACCUGCCUUUUACUGUGGAAUAAUCGUUGGAAACGACGACUAAUACCGCAUACGGUUCUUGGAAGGCAUCUUCUAAGAAAGAAAGGAGUAAUUCGGUAAAAGAUGGGCCCGCAUCUGAUUAGCUAGUUGGUGAGAUAACAGCCCACCAAGGCAACGAUCAGUAGCCGACCUGAGAGGGUGACCGGCCACAUUGGGACUGAGACACGGCCCAAACUCCUACGGGAGGCAGCAGUGGGGAAUAUUGCACAAUGGGGGAAACCCUGAUGCAGCAACGCCGCGUGAAGGAAGACGGUUUUCGGAUUGUAAACUUCUAUCAAUAGGGAAGAAAGAAAUGACGGUACCUAAAUAAGGAGCCCCGGCUAACUACGUG
rnacentral:rRNA from 1 species